rnacentral:lncRNA from 1 species
GCAGUUCGAUAUCUCUAUGCAGAAAUGUCACGUUCCCAAUCUAAUAUUCGGAUCGAAUACAUAAUUAUUAUAUAUUUUUUAAAAUAAAUUUUAAAAAAAUAUAUAAAAUCAAAAAUAAUUUAUUAUAAUAUUUUAAUAUUUAUAAAUAAUAAUAAUUUAUUUUUAUAAUAAUAAAUAAAAUUUAUAUAAUUAUAAAUUUAAUUCCUUCUAUCAUCUAAUUGGAUAUUAAUAAUGCUCAAUCUAUUCAUCCGCUUACCCGCAAACCUAAACCAUAGUCAAUCAUGAGCAUCCGACA